ensembl:lncRNA
AAUGAUCUAUGUGUACAUCGAAAUAUUAAUAUGUCUAUGUCAACAAUUAAAUAUUAGUGUGUCUUUGUGUACAGUCACUUCGUCUCUUGUCUGUUACUUGUUCGUUAGUGCACUUUAUGCUUAAUAUUUUUCUUUUUAACUUUUUAAUAUUUACAUUUUUUUAACUUUAUUCCCUUGUUUUAUACGAACCCAUAGCCUUAGCCUUAUUCUACUAACCCAUUGCAUUAGCAUUUCAUUCCACUUUAUUUUAUUACUUGUGCACUGUUGUCCUGUCUGUCUACUGUCGCGCACUAACCGCCAAGACAAAUUCCUUUUAUGUUUGAGAUAUUUUGGCUAAUAAAUGUUUCCUGAUUCCUGAAUCCUACAUCUAAAUAUUAGUUUGUCUCUGAGUAUGUGUGUGUGUGUGUGUUGUGCGCUUAUCUGAGUCAUGCGUAGAUCUGGCGCUGCUCCUGAGGGGGCGACUCUCAGCACAUCCUGAUGGCGUGGCAUCCUGAUGGCGUCCUGAUGGCGUGACGUCCUGAUGGCGUCCUGAUGGCGUGACGUCCUGAUGGCUUCCUGAUGACGUCCUGUUGGUCUGCAGAGACAAGGAGAAGAGACGUGAGGAGGAUCAUCAGGAUACUCCUGAGGCGUGACGAUCGCUUUCUGCAGUUUUCUGUCCGGAAAACUUCAGUGUGUGCAGAUGUGAGGUUUGAAACUAACUGACUAAAUGUGCCUCAGACUGUGUUUCUUAUACUGUGGGGAAUGGAGCAUAGAACACGGAACAUGGAGCACAGAACACGGAACAUGGAACAUAGAACACGGAACAUGGAGCAUGGAACAUGGAGCAUGGAAUUUGGAACACGGACAUGGAACAUGGAGAAAUCCUGAUGUCACCUGUCUAUGUUUACAGUGAAGGACUCAAGUGCAGAUGAUGCUCGGAGGGACCUGGAGCAAAUCACCAUGGCAAUAUUUGUUGUCUUUCGGAAAGAGGGGAAAGGACUGCAGGAGCCACCUGAAGACAUUAGCAUCGUCAUUGAGGGUGUGGAGGUGUUGCAUCAACUGUCAAAAGCUGUCCGUUUCAGCUUGUGCCCUGCUUCUGGGAUUGAUACUCAACCUCUCUUACCCAAAACCACUUCAUUUCACUUUUAAAGUGCUCCAGAAGAUAAUCAUGGAGCUUGAUCAGCAGAAGAUGUCCCCCAAGGUCCAUAAUCUGUAUGGCAGACUUCAAACACAAUAGUGUUUCGAUAUGGGGCAUUUCACUAUUCAGCCCCUUUGGAUGUUGGGCCUUUGUUAGCUCCAAGAUAAAAAUGUUAAGAUACAAUGUUGUUUUAUAUAUAUUAUCACUUGAUUGUAUACAAAUGCUUCUAUCAUACAUAUGAUUUUUGGGGAAAAAGUUCAAUUUCUGUCAGGUGUUCCCAAACAUUGUUACAUAUCAGAAGGCCAAAUGUGACUUGGCAUGGUUAUGCAUUUUGUGCAUAUUUAUGUUAAAAAAAACACUGGAAACAAAUACAAGCAAUACAUUUUGAAAGCCAUCAAAUUUGACUCUGUCAUUUUUCUUUUAGCCAACUUAAAAUUGGCCAAAAGUACAAUUUUACACCAAGGAUACUACAAAAAUUAGCUUUUAUGAAACCAUACUUUUAGGUUGUAAAGACGCAGUAUUUUACUUUUGGGUAAAGUAAAUAUUUGAGUUGGAAAAACUGUAAACUUUAGGUUGACUUGUUUUGAUUUUGAGUUAAAGUAAUGCAAAAUAUUGAUUUGAAACACAUCGAAUUAUUACAUCCAUCUGACUAAAAUCAAUUGUGUUAAUAGAACUUGUUAACUUCAUUUGGAAAAACCUAAUUCAUUCGUGUGUUACCAAUUCAAAUAGUUCAAUUAAGUUGGUUCAACUAUUUGCUUUUUUCAGUGUACCAAAAAACAUGGGCAUUAUAGUCUUUGGCACUGCGUUUAUUAGAGGCUGUUUAAGCCACAGAUUAUUGUACACAAGGUGGCUUCUGCAGGGGUCCUGUUUAGAGAGAACUGAAGAGGGGGAACACUUCACACCAGGCACGUG